rnacentral:rRNA from 1 species
GACGAACGCUGGCGGCGUGCUUAACACAUGCAAGUCGAACGGAAAGGCCCUGCUUUUGUGGGGUGCUCGAGUGGCGAACGGGUGAGUAACACGUGAGUAACCUGCCCUUGACUUUGGGAUAACUUCAGGAAACUGGGGCUAAUACCGGAUAGGAGCUCCUGCUGCAUGGUGGGGGUUGGAAAGUUUCGGCGGUUGGGGAUGGACUCGCGGCUUAUCAGCUUGUUGGUGGGGUAGUGGCUUACCAAGGCUUUGACGGGUAGCCGGCCUGAGAGGGUGACCGGCCACAUUGGGACUGAGAUACGGCCCAGCCUCCUACGGGAGGCAGCAGUGGGGAAUAUUGCACAAUGGGCGGAAGCCUGAUGCAGCAACGCCGCGUGCGGGAUGACGGCCUUCGGGUUGUAAACCGCUUUCGCCUGUGACGAAGCGUGAGUGACGGUAAUGGGUAAAGAAGCACCGGCUAGCUACGUG